ACUAUUUUGGCAGAUAAGUGCAUUAGAUUUAGAAUUUAUUAAUAUAGAAUUUUCUAUAAGUAGUA
rnacentral:tRNA from 1 species